AUGUGUUCCUUCUGUACUGACGUUGAGACAACAAAUCAUUUGUUUUUUACUUGCUCGCUUGCUCGUUCGGUCUGGGGAGUGUUGGGCAUGACGGUUGGAGCAUCCUGCUGUCCUCGUUCUCUCUGGCAGAGCUUCGCUUGGCUUUAUAAGUUUUUUCCGGGCGGGAAGCUUUUUUACAUGAUGAUUAUUGCUGCAAUAUGCUGGGGGAUUUGGACCCUCCGCAAUAAAGUUACAUUUGAUAACCAUGUUGUUCGUUCUCCUCUGGAGGCUGUUUUCACUGCCUGCUCGUUUCUGAUGUAUUGGGCAGGUUUGCUAAAGGAAGAUGAAAAGGUGAAGCUCCAGGUUGGAGUGAAGAGGCUGGCUCACGCGGCUGCUGCGCUGGUGAACAGAUCUCAUCCUCGAGGCAGGCCACUCUUAGGAGACAGAGAUGGGAUCCAGAUUGGCUAG
rnacentral:rRNA from 1 species